AGGAGGCUCUUUGACCUGGAGGGUGAUCGCUCACGGAGUAUCACCCCAGGUAGUGGUGCUGAUGAUCCACUACCAUCUCCGGAUGCAGAUGCUGGAUAUUCAUCACCCGGCCCCUCUGAUGCAGCACCAGAACCAUCCCCCGACGCAGCACCAGAACCAUCCCCCGACGCAGGUGCUACUUGGACCCCGACAUAUCCAUCA